rnacentral:misc_RNA from 1 species
GUUCGAUUAUGGCUCAGAUUGAACGCUGGCGGGAUGUUUACACAUGCAAGUCAGACGGCAGCACGGACUUCGGUCUGGUGGCGAGUGGCGAACGGGUGAGUAAUGUAUCGGAACGUGCCUAGUAGCGGGGGAUAACUACGCGAAAGCGUAGCUAAUACCACAUACGCCCUUCGGGGGAAAAGCAGGGGACCUUCGGAGCCUCGCACUAUUAGAGCGGCCGAUAUCGGAUUGGCUAGUUGGUGGGGUAACGGCUCACCAAGGCGACGAUCCGUAGCUGGUUUGAAGGACUGACCAGCCACACUGGGAUGAGACACGGCCCAGACU